UACGUAGGGGGCGAGCGUUGUCCGGAUUUAUUGGGCGUAAAGAGCUCGUAGGCGGCUUGGCAAGUCGGGUGUGAAAACUCCAGGCUCAACCUGGAGAUGCCACUCGAGACUGCUAUGGCUAGAGUCCGGUAGGGGACCACGGAAUUCCUGGUGUAGCGGUGAAAUGCGCAGAUAUCAGGAGGAACACCGGUGGCGAAGGCGGUGGUCUGGGCCGGCACUGACGCUGGAGGAGCGAAAGCGUGGGGAGCGAACAGG
rnacentral:rRNA from 1 species